rnacentral:rRNA from 1 species
CUAGGAAUCUUGGGAAUGGGCGAAAGCCUGACCCAGCAACGCCGCGUGAGCGAUGAAGGCUUUCGGGUCGUAAAGCUCUUUUGUGGGGGAAGAUGAUGACGGUACCCCACGAAUAAGCCACGGCAAACUACGUGCCAGCAGCCGCGGUAAUACGUAGGUGGCGAGCGUUGUCCGGAUUUACUGGGCGUAAAGGGCGUGCAGGCGGUCUGCUAAGUCUGGGGUGAAAGCUCCCGGCUCAACUGGGAGAGGUCCUUGGAUACUGGCAGACUCGAGGGAGGUAGAGGAGAGUGGAAUUCCCGGUGUAGUGGUGAUAUGCGUAGAUAUCGGGAGGAACACCUGUGGCGAAGGCGGCUCUCUGGGCCUUACCUGACGCUGAGACGCGAAAGCGUGGGGAGCGAACCGGAUUAGAUACCCCCGUAGUCC